UACGUAGGUGGCAAGCGUUGUCCGGAAUUAUUGGGCGUAAAGCGCGCGCAGGCGGUUCUUUAAGUCUGAUGUGAAAGCCCACGGCUCAACCGUGGAGGGUCAUUGGAAACUGGGGAACUUGAGUACAGAAGAGGAAAGCGGAAUUCCACGUGUAGCGGUGAAAUGCGUAGAGAUGUGGAGGAACACCAGUGGCGAAGGCGGCUCACUGGCCCGGUACUGACGCUGAGGUGCGAAAGCGUGGGGAGCAAACAGG
rnacentral:rRNA from 1 species